rnacentral:rRNA from 1 species
GGACUACCCGGGUAUCUAAUCCUGUUUGCUCCCCUAGCUUUCGUGCCUCAGUGUCAGGAGUUUUCCAGGGACUCGCCUUCGCCACUGGUGUUCCACUUGAUAUCUACGCAUUUCACUGCUACACCAAGUAUUCCAGUCCCCCCUCAAACCCUCUAGCCGAAUAGUAUCCAAUGCCAUUUCCGAGUUAAGCUCGGAGAUUUCACAUCAGACUUACCCGACCACCUACGCACCCUUUACGCCCAGUGAAUCCGAACAACGCUUGGGACCUCUGUAUUACCGCGGCUGCUGGCAC